AAGGUAGCGAAAUUCCUUGUCGGGUAAGUUCCGACCUGCACGAAUGGCGUAACGAUCUCCCCGCUGUCUCAAAUGCGGACUCAGCGAAAUUGAACUGUGUGUCAAGAUGCACACUACCCGCGGUUAGACGGAAAGACCCCAUGCACCUUUACUCCAGCUUUGCACUGGUAUCAGGAUUGUGAUGUGCAGGAUAGGUGGUAGGCAUCGAAGCAGGGACGCUAGUUCUUGUGGAGCCUCCCUUGAGAUACCACCCUUCGCACUCUUGAUAUCUAACCGCGGCCCGUUAUCCGGGUCCGGGACCCUGCAUGGUGGGGAGUUUGACUGGGGCGGUCGCCUCCCAAACAGUAACGGAGGCGCGCGAAGGUAGGCUCAGACCGGUCGGAAAUCGGUCGUUGAGUGCAAUGGCAGAAGCCUGCCUGACUGCAAGUCUGACAAGACGAGCAGAGACGAAAGUCGGUCAUAGUGAUCCGGUGGUCCCAAGUGGGAGGGCCAUCGCUCAACGGAUAAAAGGUACGCUGGGGAUAACAGGCUGAUGAUGCCCAAGAGUCCAUAUCGACGGCAUCGUUUGGCACCUCGAUGUCGGCUCAUCUCAUCCUGGGGCUGGAGCAGGUCCCAAGGGUACGGCUGUUCGCCGUUUAAAGAGGUACGUGAGCUGGGUUUAGAACGUCGUGAGACAGUUCGGUCCCUAUCUGCCGUGGGUGUAGGAGACUUGAGAAGAGUUGCCCCUAGUACGAGAGGACCGGGGUGAACGAACCACUGGUGGACCAGUUAUCGUGCCAACGGUAGUGCUGGGUAGCUAUGUUCGGACAGGAUAACCGCUGAAGGCAUCUAAGCGGGAAGCCCCCUUCAAAACAAGGUCUCCCUUGAGAGCCGUGGAAGACCACCACGUCGAUAGGCCAGAGAUGUAAGUGCAGCAAUGCAUUCAGUUGACUGGUACUAAUUGCUCGAUAGGCUUGAUUUG
rnacentral:rRNA from 1 species